rnacentral:rRNA from 1 species
GAAUUCGAUUAGAGUUUGAUCCUGGCUCAGAACGAACGCUGGUGGCAUGCCUAAUACAUGCAAGUCGAACGAGAAAGCACUUCGGUGUGAGUAGAGUGGCGCACGGGUGAGUAACGCGUAGGUGAUAUGCCUGUUAGUGGGGGACAACAUCGUGAAAACGGUGCUAAUACCGCAUAAGCUUAGUGAAAUUGAAAAAGCUAAGGAAAGGGGCUUCGGUCUCGCUGACAGAUUGGCCUGCGUAGCAUUAGCUUGUUGGUGGGGUAAUGGCCUACCAAGGCGACGAUGCUUAACUGGUCUGAGAGGAUGAUCAGUCACACUGGAACUGAGACACGGUCCAGACUCCUACGGGAGGCAGCAGUAGGGAAUAUUGCACAAUGGGGGAAACCCUGAUGCAGCAAUGCCACGUGAGUGAGGAAUGCCUUCGGGUUGUAAAGCUCUGUCCUAUAGGAAGAACGGCUUUGGGUAACGCCAAAGAUUGACGGUACUAUAGAAGAAAGCACCGGCUAACUCCGUGCCAGCAGCCGCGGUAAUACGGAGGGUGCAAGCGUUGUUCGGAUUUACUGGGCGUAAAGCGCGCGCAGGCGGAUUAUCAAGUCAGAUGUGAAAUCUCGGGGCUCAACCCCGAAACUGCGUCUGAAACUGAUAGUCUAGAGUCUCAUAGGGGGUAGGGGAAUUUCACGUGUAGGGGUAAAAUCCGUAGAGAUGUGAAGGAAUACCGGUGGCGAAGGCGCCUGCCUGGAUGAGUACUGACGCUGAGGCGCGAAAGCGUGGGGAGCAAAC